CCCCUCUAUAUAAACUCCAGCAGAAGGGGAUGUCCUUGAACACAUUAACAAGAAGAUCAAACAUCCAAAAAAUAGCAGCGAUAGUGGUAGCCUUACAUCUUGUCAUGGCAUUUUGCAAGAGAAACACAAGCAUUGCAUGCCUGGCAGCCGUGAUGGUGGUGAUGGCCACCGUGAUGCUACCCUGUGACGCUGAAAGAGAUUACUGUGUUACGGUUUAUGAUGUACCAUGCACGCGCGACAAGUGCAUGCCUCUAUGUGCUCAAACUGGUUUCACAAAAAAUCCCCACUGCUUCACCGAAGACAAGUGUUGUUGUCAGAUGGACUUGGAGCCCAUGGUCGCCGCAGUAGGUCGUGAUUAAUCGCCCGCGCUGAUAAUGAUAGUUAAACUUUGAAUUUUCUUAUCAGAUUACUAUCAACAUGUUCUCGCUAUGUGUAUGAAUUAAUUAAUUAUCAAAAGAUAAAUGUAUGGCAUUUUGCUUCUUCUUUUUUUGAGAAAAAUGUAUGGCACUUUGCUUGUGGACCAAGAA